AUAAUUUAACAAGAUGGGGUGGAGCUUUGCUGGAAUUCUCCCAAUUUGGAGAUAUCAAGGAAUCAAGGAAGAUGCUUCAAGAUGCUGUGUCAAAAUUGGACGAGGCAUUGGCUAUCAAUCCUGCAAAACAUGAGGCUCUGUGGUGCUUAGAGAAUGCCCACACUGCUAACGCUUUUCUAACCCCGGACCAUGAUGAGGCUAAGAUUCAGUUUGAGCAAGCAUUUCAAUGUUUCGAAAAGGCUGUAGAAGAGUGUCCUGGGAAUGAACAUUAUCUCCAAU